UCCCUGGUGGUCCAGUGGUUAAGACUCUGCACUUGCACUGCAGGGGGCAUGGGUUCGAUCCCUGAUUGGGGAG